rnacentral:rRNA from 1 species
GAGGGGCCCGCGUCCGAUUAGCUAGUUGGUGAGGUAACGGCUCACCAAGGCAACGAUCGGUAGCCGGCCUGAGAGGGCGGACGGCCACACUGGGACUGAGACACGGCCCAGACUCCUACGGGAGGCAGCAGUGGGGAAUUGUUCGCAAUGGGCGCAAGCCUGACGACGCAACGCCGCGUGGAGGAUGAAGGUCUUCGGAUUGUAAACUCCUGUUGCCCGGGACGAAUGCUCUCGACCUAACACGUCGAGGGGUGACGGUACCGGGUGAGGAAGCCCCGGCUAACUCUGUGCCAGCAGCCGCGGUAAUACAGAGGGGGCAAGCGUUGUUCGGAAUUACUGGGCGUAAAGGGCGCGUAGGCGGCCUGCUAAGUCGAACGUGAAAUCCCCGGGCUCAACCCGGGAACUGCGUUCGAUACUGGUUGGCUUGAAUCCGGGAGAGGGAUGCGGAAUUCCAGGUGUAGCGGUGAAAUGCGUAGAUAUCUGGAGGAACACCGGCGGCGAAGGCGGCAUCCUGGACCGGCAUUGACGCUGAGGCGCGAAAGCCAGGGGAGCAAACGGGAUUAGAUACCCCGGUAGUCCUGGCCCUAAACGAUGAAUGCUUGGUGU